AAUGCUAUGCAGACAUAAUGGAAAUGGCAUUUACAUUGUAGAGCUUGGACAAAGUUCACACAGGCUCUGCGCAGGAAUUCAUCAAGGACAUGACUGCUGGGAUCACGCUUCUGGAUGACCAAACUGAGCACCAUCAGUCUGCAGUGAUGUGAUCCAGCCAUCCAGUGACAUUAAGGAUGUUGAGAAAGAAAUUGAAGAGGGCAUUCUGAUUGUAACUGAGGAGCAGCAAUGUGAUGUGCUUCCCAAGGAAUAACCAACAUUGGUCUCAUUUGGACAUCCUGUCAUCACUGACAUCUCCCAUGUCCCCAAGGCAUUUGGACUCCUAAUGGGUCUGUAUGCAGUGAACAUCCUCUACCUCCAGCGCAUUAAAUACACCAUUGAGGCUCUGCAAAAACUUGUGAAGACCAGCUGCUCCCACCAUGUGCUCGCUACAGCGGCAAGAACUGUAGGUGUGGGGGAGUGAAUGUCCAGCGCUCUCUCCACCCUCAACACCACAAAUAAGGUGUCCUUGAGCAAGGCACAACUUCUCCCCGGGUACUGCAGCAUAAAUGGCUGCCCACUGCUCUGGGUGUGUGUUCACGGUGUGUGUUCACUGCUGUGUGUGCACUUUGGAUGGGUUAAAUGAAGAGCACAAAUGUAUGUCAUGUCACUUUCACUUUUCAGUGUUCAUGAUGUGUCCAUCGGCUCCACAGCACUCUUU